AAGAACGAUCGAGACAAGGGAGCUUUGGUUUAGGUCACCUACCUUCAUCACAUCGUUGAGAGAGAGGCCGUUCACUUUGGCGGAUGCGUCGAACACCACGCGGCACUUGGUGGUAGUAUUCGACGGGCGAAGAACGGCGUGUGUCCAAGCUUCUCGUACUCUUCCAUGAACUCGACGUACUGCUUCUUCAACUCCGGCUGUUGUGCAAGCUUUCUCUCCAGAGCGUAGAAUCUUCGCAGCGCCAUCGUACGUGAAUCGCCGAGCUCGGCGACCGACUCUUUGAGCGGAAGCUCCACCACGUACCUCCCAGUUGCAUCCCGACGCUCCCAAAAACGUUGAACGGUGCGGUUCAAGUCUUCCAGUGUGGCUGAGUGCGAGUGAACCACUGCUGCAGCUUCGUCUUCUUCAUCGCACACGCCACCAACGACCCAGCCGAACUGAGUCUCGCGUAGCAUUGGCAGGUG